rnacentral:sRNA from 1 species
ACCGUGACCUGUGGUCACAUGGCCUGAGCGGCAGGGUGGCUCAGUCACCUGGGCAGCUGAUACUGCUGAGAGGCAGGGUGGCGGGCUAUGGGCCUGAGCCCACAGCUGCAGGAGGGGCCUGGGGAUCAUAUGUGAGGGCUGCUUGCCCCUGCCCGAGGGUGGGCUGGCAGGGACGGCCAGAGGCAGAGGUGCAGGCCGUGAGGCUGAUCGCUGAGGGCAAAGCCCCCAGACUCCCUCAGCCUGAGGAAGGAGCCACCUAUGAGGGGAUUCAGAAGAAGGAGACGGCCAAGAUCAACUGGGACCAGCCAGCAGAGGCCAUUCACAACUGGAUCCGCGGGAAUGACAAGGUGCCGGGAGCCUGGACAGAGGCCUGUGAACAGAAACUGACAUUUUUCAACUCAACGCUGAACACUUCAGGCCUGGUGCCCGAGGGAGAUGCUUUGCCCAUCCCAGGAGCCCAUCGGCCAGGGGUGGUCACCAAAGCAGGACUCAUCCUCUUUGGGAAUGAUGACAAAAUGCUGCUGGUGAAGAACAUUCAGCUGGAGGAUGGCAAAAUGAUCCUGGCCUCGAACUUCUUUAAGGGGGCAGCCAGCAGUGCCCUUGAGCUGACGGAGGCAGAGCUGGUUACUGCGGAGGCUGUGCGGAGUGUUUGGCAGCGGAUCCUCCCCAAUGUCCUGGAGGUUGAAGACUCCACUGAUUUCUUCAAGUCAGGGGC